rnacentral:rRNA from 1 species
GACAGCAGCCGCCGCGGUAAUACAGAGGGUGCGAGCGUUAAUCGGAUUUACUGGGCGUAAAGCGUGCGUAGGCGGCUUCUUAAGUCGGAUGUGAAAUCCCUGAGCUUAACUUAGGAAUUGCAUUCGAUACUGGGAAGCUAGAGUAUGGGAGAGGAUGGUAGAAUUCCAGGUGUAGCGGUGAAAUGCGUAGAGAUCUGGAGGAAUACCGAUGGCGAAGGCAGCCAUCUGGCCUAAUACUGACGCUGAGGUACGAAAGCAUGGGGAGCAAACAGGAUUAGAUACCCCCGUAGUCCCUGUCUCUUAUAC